GACUUCUAAAGAGGAGGCCAUUAAUAGCAGGCCUUCAGCUCUUGUUUGAACAGUCGUAUGUGUCAGAGGAAUAUUAUCAAGUGGAGAGACUGCUGCAGGCUAGAGAAGAAAGGAGUUUAGCAAUGGAAGCUGUACAGCUCGGGAACUCUGAGUUUAAAGCCUUAGCAAGGAACGAAGAGUAGGACUUUAGAACUUCCUUUCAAUGUCACUGGGGAAGUAAACAAAAACCAGGGUAAAAGUGCCGGACAAAAACUGUAAUAAGGUUCCACAGCUUUACGACUUAAAGUGGAUGUCUCACUUUCACAUUCAAACAAGGUCACAACUGUCAACAUGUGGCAAGGCCAUGCGAUGAUAUACUGUGCCCCGAAGGCAGCGCCAUCCCUCAUCAGGCCAUUGCGAUGCUGGUCAUGUGAGCAGGGUGGAUGAUGACGAUGCCUACUGCAGAGUUAAUAUCCAGGGUGCUCCGAGCUCUGUCAGAGGCCGACUCAUUCCACUGAUAAAUGUCUGGUCCGAAACAGCCUUCAACUUGUGGGAAAUCUGUCUUUCUAAAAAUUUAACCUCGUCUCUAUGGCCCACUUUUUCCCCCCCGCCUUUACACUCC